GAUGAACGCUGGCGGCGUGCCUAAUACAUGCAAGUCGAGCGAACAGAUGAGGAGCUUGCUCCUCUGACGUUAGCGGCGGACGGGUGAGUAACACGUGGAUAACCUACCUAUAAGACUGGGAUAACUUCGGGAAACCGGAGCUAAUACCGGAUAAUAUAUUGAACCGCAUGGAUCCAUAGUGGAAGACGGUUUUGCUGUCCCUUAUAGAUGGAUCCGCGCCGCAUUAGCUAGUUGGUAAGGUAACGGCUUACCAAGGCAACGAUGCGUAGCCGACCUGAGAGGGUGUGCGGCCACACUAGAACUGAGACACGGUCCAGACUCCUACGGGAGGCAGCAGUAGGGAAUCUUCCGCAAGGGGCGAAAGCCUGACGGAGCAACGCCGCGUGAGGGAUGAAGGUCGUCGGAUCGUAAAACUCUGUUAUGAGGGAAGAACAAAUGUGUAAGUAACUAUGCACGUCUUGACGGUACCUAAUCAGAAAGCCACGGCUAACUACGUG
rnacentral:rRNA from 1 species